rnacentral:rRNA from 1 species
AGAGUUUGAUCCUGGCUCAGGAUGAACGCUGGCGGCGUGCCUAACACAUGCAAGUCGAACGAAGCUUGAUGAAUGAUUUCUUCGGAAUGAAUUCUGAUAUGACUUAGUGGCGGACGGGUGAGUAACACGUGAGCAACCUGCCUUUCAGAGGGGGAUAACGGCUGGAAACGGUCGCUAAUACCGCAUGAUAUGUUUGGAUGGCAUCGUCUGAACAUCAAAGAUUUAUCGCUGAAAGAUGGGCUCGCGUCUGAUUAGAUAGUUGGUGAGGUAACGGCUCACCAAGUCGACGAUCAGUAGCCGGACUGAGAGGUUGAACGGCCACAUUGGGACUGAGAUACGGCCCAGACUCCUACGGGAGGCAGCAGUGGGGAAUAUUGCACAAUGGGGGAAACCCUGAUGCAGCAACGCCGCGUGAAGGAAGACGGUUUUCGGAUUGUAAACUUCUUUUCUUUGUGAAGAAACAAAUGACGGUAGCAAAGGAAUAAGCAUCGGCUAACUACGUGCCAGCAGCCGCGGUAAUACGUAGGAUGCAAGCGUUAUCCGGAUUUACUGGGUGUAAAGGGAGCGCAGGCGGGACUUCAAGUUGGAUGUGAAAGGUCAAGGCUUAACCUUGGCACUGCAUCCAAAACUGUAGUUCUUGAGUGGAGUAGAGGUAAGCGGAAUUCCGAGUGUAGCGGUGAAAUGCGUAGAUAUUCGGAGGAACACCAGUGGCGAAGGCGGCUUACUGGGCUCUAACUGACGCUGAGGCUCGAAAGUGUGGGGAGCAAACAGGAUUAGAUACCCUGGUAGUCCACACUGUAAACGAUGAUAGCUAGGUGUGGGGGGUCUGACCCCUUCCGUGCCGGAGUUAACGCAAUAAGCUAUCCACCUGGGGAGUACGACCGCAAGGUUGAAACUCAAAGGAAUUGACGGGGGCCC